GAUGAACGCUGGCGGCGUGCCUAAUACAUGCAAGUCGAGCGAACAGAUGAGGAGCUUGCUCCUCUGACGUUAGCGGCGGACGGGUGAGUAACACGUGGAUAACCUACCUAUAAGACUGGGAUAACUUCGGGAAACCGGAGCUAAUACCGGAUAAUCUAUUGAACCGCAUGGUUCAUUAGUGAAAGACGGUUUUGCUGUCACUUAUAGCUGGAUCCGCGCCGCAUUAGCUAGUUGGUAAGGUAACGGCUUACCAAGGCAACGAUGCGUAGCCGAACUGAGAGGGUGAUCGGCCACACUGGAACUGAGACACGGUCCAGACUCCUACGGGAGGCAGCAGUAGGGAAUCUUCCGCAAUGGGCGAAAGCUUGACGGAGCAACGCCGCGUGAGUGAUGAAGGUCUUCGGAUCGUAAAACUCUGUUAUUAGGGAAGAACAAAUGUGUAAGUAACUAUGCACGUCUUGACGGUACCUAAUCAGAAAGCCACGGCUAACUACGUG
rnacentral:rRNA from 1 species